UGAGGAAUAUUGGACAAUGGACGCAAGCCUGAACCAGCCAUGCCGCGUGCAGGAAGAAGCCUCUAUGGUUUGUAAACUGCUUUUAUACGGGAAUAAACUCUCUCUCGUGUGGCUUCUUGCCUGUACCUUAUGAAUAAGGAUCGGCUAACUCCGUGCCAGCAGCCGCGGUAAUACGGAGGGUCCAGGCGUUAUCCGGAUUGAUUGGGUUUAAAGGGUCCGUAGGCCGGUUAUUAAGUGAGUGGUGAAAGGUCGUUGCUCAACAUUGGAACUGCAGCUCGUACUGGUAGACUUGAAUACGCAGAAAGUAAGUGGAAUAUGUAGUGUAGCGGUGAAAUGCUUAGAUAUUACGUGGAAUACCGAUUGCGAAGGCAGCUUACUAAGCAGCGACUGACAUUGAUGCUCGAAAGCGUGGGGAGCAAACA
rnacentral:rRNA from 1 species